UACAGAGGGUGCGAGCGUUAAUCGGAUUUACUGGGCGUAAAGGGCGCGUAGGCGGUGAUAUGAGUGUGAUGUGAAAGCCCCGGGCUUAACCUGGGAAGUGCAUCGCAAACGAUAUGACUGGAGUAGAUGAGAGGGUGGCGGAAUUUCCGGUGUAGCGGUGAAAUGCGUAGAGAUCGGAAGGAACGUCAAUGGCGAAGGCAGCCACCUGGCAUCAUACUGACGCUGAGGCGCGAAAGCGUGGGGAGCGAACAGG
rnacentral:rRNA from 1 species